ensembl:snoRNA U8 U8 small nucleolar RNA
UCGUCAGGUAGGAAUCCUUAUCUAUUCCUCCUUCGGAAGGGCAGAUUGGAACAUGAUGAUUGGAGAUCGCAUGACGCGUGAUUAGAAACAUAUCACCUUGACAGUGUGGCUCAGUACUGAC